rnacentral:rRNA from 1 species
AUACGGGGGGAGCAAGCGUUGUCCGGAUUCAUUGGGCAUAAAGGGCGUGUAGGUGGAUCAGUAAGUGAGAGGUGAAAUCCUGGGGCUUAACUCCGGAACUGCCUUUCAUACUGCUGAUCUCGAGUGCGGGAGAGGAAGAUGGAAUUCCUGGUGUAGCGGUGGAAUGCGUAGAUAUCAGGAAGAACACCGGUGGCGAAGGCUGUCUUCUGGCCCGAUACUGACACUAAGGCGCGAAAGCGUGGGGAGCAAACAGGAUUAGAUACCCUGGUAGUCCACGCUGUAAACGAUGGGCACUAGGUGUUGGACGAUUCGACCCGUUCGGUGCCGUAGCUAACGCGUUAAGUGCCCCGCCUGGGGAGUACGAUCGCAAGGUUGAA